ACAUGUGGACAGUAUGGGAGUGAGAAUGUUGGCAUGAGUAGCGAGAUGUGGGUGAGAAUCCCACAGGCCGUAAACCCAAGGUUUCCAGGGGAAGGUUCGUCCGCCCUGGGUUAGUCGGGACCUAAGCUGAGGCCGAAAGGCGUAGGUGAUGGACAACAGGUUGAUAUUCCUGUACUACCGAUAACCGUUUGAGAGAAGGGAUGACACAGUAGGAUAAGCUAAGCACACUGUUGGUUAUGUGUGCCCAAGCAUUGAGGCAGUCAAAGUAGGCAAAUCCGCUUUGAUAAUGCUGGGAUGUGAUGGGGAGCGAAAUUUAGUAGCGAAGUAGCUGAUUUCACACUGUCAAGAAAAGUCUCUAUCGAGGUUAAAGGUACCCGUACCGCAAACCGACACAGGUGGGUGAGGAGAGUAUCCUAAGGCCAGCGAGAGAACUGUUGUUAAGGAACUCGGCAAAAUGACCCCGUAACUUAGGGAUAAGGGGUGCCACCAUCAGGUGGCCGCAGAGAAUAGGCCCAAGCGACUGUUUACCAAAAACAUAGGUUUCUGCUAAGUCGCAAGACGAUGUAUAGGAGCUGACGCCUGCCCGGUGCUGGAA
rnacentral:rRNA from 1 species